rnacentral:rRNA from 1 species
GCCAAAGAAGGCUUCUGUUUACAUGCUUUUGCUUUGGGAUGAGUCCGCGUACCAUUAGCUAGUUGGUAGGGUAAUGGCCUACCAAGGCGACGAUGGUUAGCUGGUCUGAGAGGAUGAUCAGCCACACUGGAACUGAGACACGGUCCAGACUCCUACGGGAGGCAGCAGUGAGGAAUAUUGCGCAAUGGGGGCAACCCUGACGCAGCAACGCCGCGUGAGUGAGGAAGGUUUUCGGACUGUAAAGCUCUGUCGAGCGGGAAGAAAUGUGUCAUGGCUAAUAUCCAUGAUACUUGACGGUACCGCUAAAGGAAGCACCGGCUAACUCCGUGCCAGCAGCCGCGGUAAUACGAGGGGUGCAAGCGUUGUUCGGAAUUAUUGGGCGUAAAGAGCGUGUAGGCGGCUGGAUAAGUCAGAUGUGAAAUCCCUGGGCUUAACCCAGGACGUGCAUUUGAAACUAUCCAGCUGGAGUAAGGGAGAGGAAAGUGGAAUUCCUGGUGUAGAGGUGAAAUUCGUAGAUAUCAGGAGGAACACCGGUGGCGAAGGCGACUUUCUGGCCCUAUACUGACGCUGAGACGCGAGAGCGUGGGUAGCAAACAGGAUUAGAUACCCUGGUAGUCCACGCUGUAAACGAUGUUCACUAGGUGUUGGGGGUAUUGACCCUCUCAGUGCCGCAGCUAACGCA